rnacentral:rRNA from 1 species
GUUGCGGUUAAAAAGCUCGUAGUUGGAUUUCUGCCGAGGACGACCGGUCCGCCCUCUGGGUGAGUAUCUGGCUCGGCCUGGGCAUCUUCUUGAAGAACGUAGCUGCACUUGACCGUGUGGUGCGGUAUUCAGGACUUUUACUUUGAGGAAAUUAGAGUGUUUCAAGCAGGCACACGCCUUGAAUACAUUAGCAUGGAAUAAUAAGAUAGGACCUCGGUUCUAUUUUGUUGGUUUCUAGAGCUGAGGUAAUGAUUAAUAGGGAUAGUUGGGGGCAUUCGUAUUUAACUGUCAGAGGUGGAAUUCUUGGAUUUGUUAAAGACGGACUACUGCGAAAGCAUUUGCCAAGGAUGUUUUCAUUGAUCAAGAACGAAAGUUAGGGGAUCGAAGACGAUCAGAUACCGUCCUAGUCUUAACCAUAAAACCAUGCCGACUAGAGAUUGGAGGUCGUUACUUAUACCGACUCCUUCAGCACCUUAUGAGAAAUCAAAGUCUUUGGGUUCCGGGGGGAGUAUGGUCGCCAAGGCUGAAAACUUAAAGGAAAUUGACGGAAAGGGCAC